CUGCUCUUGAUGAAGGACACCCACAAACAAUUCAAAAUAUAUCAUCAAAAGAAUUUUGAGAUUGAGCAUCUAGAAAGUGAGUUACAACCAUCCUUUUGCACUUGGAAGAAAAAUGAUGUAAAACUAGAUGUAGUGAAGGUUAUGAACAAUUCAAAGUUGAAGAAGAAGUUGUAAAAUUGUUGGUUUUAGUUGUUGAUUAUGUAUGAUGUUUAUGGAUAAAUUGUAAUAGUGAAAAAGGAAGACCAUAUUUGAUACUUUUUGUCAAUGGAGAUUCUUAAAUUAAGUUUUCAUUAUUAAUUUAA